AGAGAGGCAGGUUGAGGUGGCCAGGGUCAGAGAGGCAGGUUGAGGUAGCCAGGGUCAGAGAGGCAGGUUGAGGUAGCCAGGGUCAGAGAGGCAGGUUGAGGUGGCCAGGGUCAGAGAGGCAGGUUGAGGUGGCCAGGGUCAGAGAGGCAGGUUGAGGUAGCCAGGGUCAGAGAGGCAGGUUGAGGUGGCCAGGGUCAGAGAGGCAGGUUGAGGUGGCCAGGGUCAGAGAGGCAGGUUGAGGUGGCCAGGGUCAGAGAGGCAGGUUGAGGUAGCCAGGGUCAGAGAGGCAGGUUGAGGUGGCCAGGGUCAGAGAGGCAGGUUGAGGUGGCCAGGGUCAGAGAGGCAGGUUGAGGUGGCCAGGGUCAGAGAGGCAGGUUGAGGUGGCCAGGGUCAGAGAGGCAGGUUGAGGUGGCCAGGGUCAGAGAGGCAGGUUGAGGUAGCCAGGGUCAGAGAGGCAGGUUGAGGUGGCCAGGGUCAGAGAGGCAGGUUGAGGUGGCCAGGGUCAGAGAGGCAGGUUGAGGUGGCCAGGGUCAGAGAGGCAGGUUGAGGUGGCCAGGGUCAGAGAGGCAGGUUGAGGUGGCCAGGGUCAGAGAGGCAGGUUGAGGUGGCCAGGGUCAGAGAGGCAGGUUGAGGUGGCC